UUAACUUGUUAAUCAUAAAAAUUGUUCUCCAAAAAAGUAUACUCGAUACAUCCGGAUGGAGGAUUAUAAUUAUAAAUGAAAGCAAAAUAGCCUUUCCUGAAAGAAGUGAAAUUCCUUUCUAACUAGCAGUAGAGGCAAUAGUAGAAAUGAAAAUACUGUUUGUAAAGACAUGGAGAAGUGUGAGAAUUGGGAUUUUAUCACUGACCAUCUGG
ensembl:misc_RNA predicted gene, 27660